GCCGAGUUAAGUAACGAGAACUUGUUACCCGAGUGGGGGCAUUAAGGUGGGCGGAUGUUGGUUUGGUUGAGUGGGUAGGGCCUGAUGGGGUUAACUUGCUGGCCUGCCCGUUCCAAGGUGGGAGAUGUCUCUCGACACCCGAGCGAAGGCUUGGGUGGCGUGGGUCCUAGAGUGGAGUACACUGCGCGAGGCUGGAUUCACAGAGCAGCGUUCACCUCCCGCUCCCGUCGGUGGAAGGGAUAACAGGCCGGUGCUCCACAGGUCCAAUAACGCCUCCUCAGCCGCUCACAAUCUGACAUCCACCUUU
rnacentral:SRP_RNA from 1 species